GCGGGCGUAGUAUAGCGGCAGUAUGUGACCCUUCCAAGGUCAAGGCGUGGGUUCGAUUCCCAUCGCCCGCU
rnacentral:tRNA from 1 species